ensembl:snoRNA SNORA70 Small nucleolar RNA SNORA70
CUGCAGCCAAUUAAGCCAACCACUCUGGGAGCCCAGGAGUGGUGCCACAUCUACCAGCAACAGCCACCCUGGUACUGUGCCAAGCCUGCUGCUUCCACGGGCUACCCUAAGGGACCGUGGACACAGUU